CCUACGUGAGGCAGCAGUGGGGGAUAUUGGACAAUGGGGGGAACCCUGAUCCAGCGACGCCGCGUGAGUGAAGCAGUAUUUCGGUAUGUAAAGCUCUGUUAGCAGGGAAGAAAGAAAUGACGGUACCUGACCAAUAAGCCUCGGCUAACUACGUGCCAGCAGCCGCGGUAAUACGGAGGAUGCGAGCGUUAUCCGGAUUUAUUGGGUUUAAGGGGUGCGUAGGCGGGCUGUUAAGUCAGCGGUAAAAUUGCGGGGCUCAACCCCGUCGAGCCGUUGAAACUGGCAGACUUGAGUUGGCGAGAAGUACGCGGAAUGCGCGGUGUAGCGGUGAAAUGCAUAGAUAUCGCGCAGAACUCCGAUUGCGAAGGCAGCGUACCGGCGCCAGACUGACGCUGAGGCACGAAAGCGUGGGGAUCGAACAGGAUUAGAUACCCGUGUAGUC
rnacentral:rRNA from 1 species